CUUCGGCCGACUGAAUAAUGGAUUAGUGGCGGACGGGUGAGUAACGCGUGAGUAACCUGCCUUUCAGAGAGGAAUAACAUUUGGAAACGAAUGGUAAUACCACAUAACAUUACGUUCUCGCGUGGGGAUGCAAUCAAAGAUUUAUCGCUGAGAGAUGGACUCGCGUCCGAUUAGCUAGAUGGUGAGGUAACGGCCCACCAUGGCGACGAUCGGUAGCCGGACUGAGAGGUUGAACGGCCACAUUGGGACUGAGACACGGCCCAGACUCC
rnacentral:rRNA from 1 species